AUUGAACGCUGGCGGCAGGCCUAACCCAUGCAAGUCGAACGAGUGGCGGACGGGUGAGUAAUGUCUGGGAAACUGCCUGAUGGACGGGGAUCACUGCUGGCAACGGUAGCUAAUAACGCAUCACAUCGGAUGUGCCCAGAUGGGAUUAGCUAGUAGGUGGGGUAAAGGCUCACCUAGGCGACGAUCCCGAGCUGGUCGGAGAGGAUGACCAGCCACACUGGAACUGAGACACGGUCCAGACUCCUACGGGAGGCAGCAGUGGGGAAUAUUGCACAAUGGGCGCAAGCCUGAUGCAGCCAUGCCGCGUGUAUGAAGAAGGCCUUCGGGUUGUAAAGUACUUUCAGCGGGGAGGCGUUACCCGCAGAAGAAGCACCGGCUAACUCCGUGCCAGCCGCCGCGGUAAUUC
rnacentral:rRNA from 1 species